rnacentral:rRNA from 1 species
UACAGAGGUCUCAAGCGUUGUUCGGAUUCAUUGGGCGUAAAGGGUGCGAAGGUGGCGCCGUAAGUCAGGUGUGAAAUUUCGGAGCUUAACUCCGAAACUGCGUCCGAUACUGGAUGGCUUGGAUUUGGGAGAGGGAUGCGGAAUUCCAGGUGUAGCGGUGAAAUGCGUAGAUAUCUGGAGGAACACCGGUGGCGAAGGCGGCAUCCUGGACCAAUAUUGACGCUGAGGAGCGAAAGCUAGGGGAGCAAACGGG